GGCCCAUUCGUAUAGUGGUUAGUAUAGUGGAUUUUGAUUGGAUUCGCAAAAUUCCAUUGACCCCGGUUCGAACCCGGGAUGGACCU